AGGGAUGUAGCGCAGCUUGGUAGCACUUUUGUUUUGGGUCAAAAAUUUCACUGGUUCAAAUCCUGUCAUCCCUA
rnacentral:tRNA from 1 species